UACAUUUCAUCUGGAAGUCUUUUGCAGAUAAUCUGGGAUGACUUUUACUUGGUUACGAAGUGAGAAACUUUGGAAACACCCUUAACAUCUAUGUAGUAGGUGUUGAAUAAAUGUUUGUUAAGUGGAUGAAUACAUACAUGAAUCAAUAUAUCCAUGAAUGAAGAGUCAGAUGAAUGGUUUAUGAAUAGAUAUAUGCAUUGAUAGUGGCAUGUAUAUGCAUAAAACGUUUUGUGUAAACAGAGAGGAAGUCAUGAAUCUUUUGUGAUUUUCUUCUUUUGUUGGUAGAAACCACACUGAGGCCUACUUGCAGAGUGAAGGUAGUGGAAGAGAGCAUGAUGACCAUUUGAGAAUCAACUGGGGUCUGGAAGACAAUGGCAGAGAAGGGGGCAAGACUCACAGCUAACCCAGGUGGUGAGCCCCUGAAUUGUACUAAUUAACAAAGGCUCUGAUUAGAGGCAAUUGGUUUCCUUCCUGCUACUGAAAAUGUCAAAAAGCAAGGCUGCCUCUGGAUGGACCUAAUUUGUGAUGAUUCCAGUUGGUUCUAAAGUGGGAUUCUGAUUGAACAGUACUGGACAUCAGACAUAGCUUCACAAGGUAAGUCCUUAAUAUGGUAUUCUGAAAUUGGUUUGUUAACAUAUUUAAUGAAAACAGUCUUCCUGGAGGAAAAUGGCAUACUGGUAAUGGCAUGUCAU
rnacentral:lncRNA from 1 species